UGGAUACCACCGGCGCCUUCAGCGUGCCCCUGGCCACUGACCUCCACGGCGCUGACUGUGUCGCUCAGCUCCACAGCGCCGCCUCCAACACGCCGUGCCCCGGCCAGGAACCAUCCAAGAUCGUGCCUGUUUCCGAGGGCACCACCUUUGGCAUCGUCGCCGGCGACAAGACCGCCACGCCGUCUGCAGCGUCGCCGGAGUGCGCGUCCAUGACCCUGUGCGGGCCCAUCAAGAAACACAUCAUGGAGCACUUCCACCACAAGAAGCCCGUGCCGCCGAAGCCGGAGCCCAAGCCCCAGCCACACCCGGACUACGGCCCCGUGCCCAAGCCCGAGCCCAAGCCGCAACCCCACCCGGACUACCACCCCGUCCCUCCCACGCCCACCUACGGCGGUGGCGGUGGCGGCGGAUACCACGGACACCACUGAGCUAGUCCACGCGACACUGAAAUCUCAUCACAGGUUCUAUGAUCAGUGAGUGAUCGACGUUGUUGCUAUUUAUGAUCAGUUGCAUAUGCGUGGGUAUUGUUUUGGUCUUGUGCCAUUCGCUGCUGCGUUUUAGAAUCUGCGCUGUGGAGUUGAGAGUCCAGAAUAACAGUUGUGAGGAACACAGGGAUCAGUGUGCUUGUAUUGCUUUUCAAAGAUUUGUAAUUUCGGUGUGUGUUUUGUAUACGAAAUUGUUAUGGGAUAUCAAGUAAGUUAAUCAAUCAAGUCCAAUUGAGUCGAUGGAGUUAUUGCCGCUGUUGGCUUCUUUUGGCUUGAUCUUGUUCUGCUGUGUGCUGCCUGCGUUUAGUUCAUGUUUUGCCUAAUGAUUUAGGCUUUCUCUGUGUUACUUUUUUGUUUUUAAUUCAUGUAAUUAAAAUUAUGUGGUGGUUUCUUUGAUGGAAAAAUGUUUUGCCAUAUAUUGUGUAGUUGUCUGAGACAAUCAUUACUUUCAGCGCAUAUUCAGAUCUGUGGACUGAAACUCAAGUGCAAUUCAGGCAAGUGUGCAAAUGGAUCAUGGACAACUCAUGGCAUUCAUGUUAAAAACAAAAGUGCAGCUACCAAGGAUGAUGCAUUUGUACUGCCGGUCCUGCCUGGACUAUUUUCACCCUAAGCAGGAGAGAAUUAGGACGCGGCCAUCUGGACAGGACUAUACUUGGGAUCAUCUGCCUACGGAUCCCACGGUACUGGCAUUGGCGGAAGAUCUCGGACUACAGAGGAUAUGUAUUGCGUGCGACUACCAAGGGAUCGUCAAUGACAUUGAUAAGGGCACUGGAGACCCUCAUGGCGCAAUCAUCAUACAUGAAAAAUAGAAAGAAAGGGUAGUUUUCGAUUAUGUAAUUUCAUUUUCGAAUGUAGAAACUUCAAUUUUGAAGCUCGCAAUCUUGCCAAGUAUAGUUGAAAUUUAGGUACGGGCCAGUAUGUUUGGUUCGGGUAAUCCUCAUGACCCAAUUCUUGUACCUAUGAACAUUAUUUCAAAUCAAUAAAAUCAGCGAGAUUUCUCAUGAAAAGAAAACCCUGGGCAGAACAGUACCUCCUAAGUCAGGUCCAUGGUACAUGGAUUUACAAAAAAGUGUUUCCCCUUCUUUAUAUUAUAAAGCGACUGCACCAACAUCGGACCACAACCAUGUUCGAAGUUAAGUUCAAAGAAAAGGGUACCCUUGUAAAUCCAUGUACUAUUUGAGAACAUGGUACAUGAAUUUACAGAUGUAAAUUUUGAAUAAUGCUUUAGAGAAGAUAAUGAGGUAGCUUAUGUAAUAGCUAAACAUAAUUUUUUAUUGAAAAGGAUUCAAAUCUAUUGUGUAGGUUCACUAGAAAUACAAUUACAAAGCACCACAAAUAUAUUAAAUAUUAGGUUUGGGUCCCUUAACCACUCAACAAUCACUAAUGCCACCAGAACAAGACGUCGACGUGCGGUCGUAGCCGCUCCCGUUCCGGAGUAGUCCUGACUUGGUCGAUGACAGCAGGAAAGUUUUUGUGCACAUGCCCCUAAGGACUAAAGCCCCGGAGCUGCAGUUGUCAAGCUGUCAGUGGUUAGAGGGUGGAAUUGAGGAGAUGGUAAAACGCUUGUACCUCAAUGACGAGGAACUUGGUAAUGUUGUUCUUGGGUGACUGAGGUAAAAAAAUAUCAAGGAAGUGGAUGGCGACCGAAAAACCCAACACAGCGAAACCAUUCACUUUCGAUGCUAUGUACGAGAGAUGCUAAAGUAUGUGUGCGCAUUGUGUGUCAACCAAAGUAUGGAGAGGUAGGUGAAAUUAAAUUCCACCACGAGAAGCCCAUGCUACCUAAGUGGGAGCCCAAGCCACAUCCCACCCCGACUACUCCAUCCCUUAGAUGCCCACCUACAGGCGGCGGACAAUUCCGAUCUACCACCCUUCCACCCAGGAUGGUUUACGAGGACACCAUCAGAAAUCCAUCACGGAUUAAUACUUUUCUUGUAGUGCAUUUUGUUAGUGUGGGAUAGAUAGCGAUGUUCCGCGUGUCCAGGCUCCCGCAAAUCCCCACACCCCCGACCCGUUUGUCUCCAUUUUUCGGGAGAACACACGGCGAGACCGCCUCGUGGCCCGAUACAAGACCGCGUUGGAUGGCUUCGACGGUCCGGACAACGCAAUCUGGACAGAUGCAGGUGGUUUGCGGGCCCACCUUAGAGAUUCCCUUAUUACUCUAAGCUACUCCCCACUAUAGGUAGUCCAAAUUGUUGUACUAUCUCCAUUUCGGGUUAUAAGGCUUGUGUGUAUUCAUAAAUAUGUAAUUUGAUCAACAUAAGUUAAUUUGUAUAGUCCAAAAAAAAUGUCAUAUUAGAAAGUAGAUGAUUUGAAGUUUCUAAUAAUUAUUAUUUUUUGGUAUGUAACUUGUCUUAUGUUGGUCUAUUUUUUAACCUAAAGAUACGUGUAAACCUUAUAAACCGAAAAUGAGGUAGUGGCUAAACUUCGUUCAUUUAAUGAUUUGCACCUAAAUUCUUGCAUGCAUUAGUGAGUUUUCUUUAUUUCUAGGUUCAUGCAUUUAGCACUGUUUCUUCCUAGGUUUACCAAACCAAUGUCUUUUUUUAAAUUGUCUUGCCACAUCAGCUUUUUGAUUAUAUCACAAUCUUAGCACGGGUAUAAGAUGGAGCAUGGGGUAAGGGCUGAUCGUAGUGAGAGUAUCAUAAGCCGUAUCAUGCAUGUCAACAAAGUUUAUUUAAUGAUGUUGCACAUCAUUAAAUGAGGAAAGAGAAGAUGUGGUAUCAUAUUAUGAUACCAUAUCAUAUUGAAUGUUGCAUUAUUUUAUGUCAUGAAUGACAAUUAAUAAGACAACUUAGAUACUAACUUAUGAUACUGUGCAUUAGAAAAAUAAUAUCAUACACUAUUAUCAUAUGCAUGAUACUAGUAUAUGAUACUCCUCAGGCAGCCUUAUCCCAUUUGUGCUAGUCUGGUGCUCAAAUGCUAGCUCUGAUUGGCUGUAUGAUUUCUCUAAUUAAAUUUCUAACAUGCCAAUCCAUGCUGAGUUUUGUUGCUCCGGAGGCGCACCGCAUCCGCAGAGGAGAGACUUUGUGCAGGCUCUAGAUGAUAAAAAAGGUAUAUGUACUUACGCUCCAUGCAUGCAUGUCCAUGUGGCGCGUGGAACCUAGGAACAAGAAGGACACGAUCGACCACCAGCCAAUGCAAAAAAUUCAACUCAAUUUAGCUAGUAAAUAUUUCUUGGCAAAUUUCCGAAGUUUCUGAUCCAAAGGAAGCUUUGUGAAGCAAGUGCUAGCUAGGGCCUUCGAGGGUCGGAAAAACCACCUCGCCGUGUCCCAGUUCUUAUUCCUUCUCCGAUCCGACAAGGUGUUUUUCACCAGGGAACCCUGGGCGUUGUCGCUCUCGCGUUUGCUGGUUGUCUCCGGUGAUCACCGGAGCGUGGCGGUUCCAUUUUUGUCCUGACAUUUGGCAUCAAAGCUAGGUUGAUAGCGGGAGGUCUUUGGCCAUGGAGCUCGUGUCGUACUCUGGUGGAUCGGGGACUACGAUAGCGACGUCGGUCCCCUUGCUGACGGGUGCCCCUUGCUAACAGGGGAGAACUUCACCACCUGGGCCAUCAAGGUGGAGGCCGACCUGGAAGCCGCCGGUCUUUGGGAGGCGGUGGUGCGGCCAGUCUCAAGUUUGCAGAUGUGAGUGGUGACUUCUGUGUAUUCCUCGAGCUCGAACUCGAGAACAGAGGAAAACAGAGGGUGCUCUCACCACAGCCGCCGGCGUCGCCGAGAACGAAAGUGCCGCCGCUGCUGUCACCCAGAACAAAAGCUCCGCCGCCGCCGCCGCUGGCUCACCACCGGGAACGAAGAGGAGGGAUCAACACAGGUUCAGACAGGGAUACUCAUUGAUGACCCACAAGUAUAGCGGAUCAAUCGUAGUCCUUUCGAUAAGUAAUAGUGUCGAAGCCAACGAGGAGUAGAAGGCUCUGAUAAACGGUUUUCAGCAAGGUAAUAACUGCAAGCACUGAAAGUAGCGGUAACAAGUGAUGGUGUGGUGAGGUGAAACGUAGCAGGUGAAAAGUAACGAGUAACAAGUAACAAGUAAUAGCAACGAUGCAGCAAAGUGGCCCAAUCCCUUUUGUAGCAAGGGACAAGCCUGAACAAAGUCUUAUAGGACGUAAAGCACUCCCGAGGACACAUGGGAAUUUCUGCCAUGCUAGUUUUAUCAUGUUCAUAUGAUUCACGUUCGUUACUUUGAUAGUUUGAUAUGUGGGUGGACCGGCGCUUGGGUACUGCCCUUACUUGGACAAGCAUCCCACUUAUGAUUAACCCCUCUCGCAAGCAUCCGCAACUACAAAAGAAGAAUUAAGACAACGUCUAACCAUAGCAUUAAACUAGUGGAUCAAAUCAGCCCCUUACGAAGCAACGCAUAGACUGGGAUUUAAGCUUCUAUCACUCUAGCAACCCAUCAUCUACUUACUACUCCCCAAUGCCUUCCUCUAGGCCCAAAUAUGGUGAAGUGUUAUGUAGUCGACGUUCACAUAACACCACUAGAGGAAAAGACAACAUACUGCAUAUCAAAAUACCGAACGAAUACCAAAUUCACAUGACUAUUAAUAGCAAGACUUAUCCCAUGUCCUCAGGAACAAAAGUAACUACUCACAAAGCAUGGAUAUAUUCAUGACCAGAGAAGUAAUGAAUAUCAUAAUGGAUCUGAACAUAUAAUCUUCCACCAAGUAAACCAACUAGCAUCAACUACAAAGAGUAAUCAACACUACUAGCAACCUUACGGGUACCAAUCGGCGUCGCGAGACGGCGAUUGGUUACAAGAGAUAGACUAGGGUUUGGAUAGUAGAUGGUGCUGAUGAAGAUGUUGAUGGAGAUGACUCCCCUCCGACGAGAGGAGUGUUGGUGAUGACUAUGUCGACGAUUUCCCCCUCCAGGAGGGAAGUUUCCCCAGCAGGAUUGUCCUGCCGGAGCUCUAGAUUGGUUCUGCUCAAGUUCCGCCUCGUGGCGGCGGCGCCUCUUCAAAAAAAGCUCCGCCUUUAUUUUUUUCCGGACGAAACCCUUCAUAUAGCAUAAGAGGGGGGCCAGUGGGCCACCAGGGUGCCCACAAGCACUGUAGUCGCGGCGAGGGGGGCAGGCCGCGGCUACGAGGCUUGUGGGCCCCUGGCAGCUCCCCUCUGGCACUUCUUUCGCCCAGUAUUUUUUAUAUAUUCCCAAAAAAUUCCAUGUUGAUUUUCAGGGCAUUUGGAGUUGCGCAGAAUAGAGGACUCAGACUUGCUCCUUUUCCAGUCUAGAAUUCCAGCUGCCGGUAUUCUCCCUCUUCAAAUAAACCUUGCAAAAUAAGAGAGAAAAGGCAUAAGUAUGGUACCACAAAGUAUAAUAACAGUCCAUGAAGCGAUAAAUAUCAACAUGAAAGCAUGAUGCAAAAUGGACAUAUCACUCAUUCACACAGGCACGGGGAUACGUUUGACCUGAUGAACUGACAAGUGGGGCCCGUGCUUACGUGGAUAAGUUGUGGGUCCAGCUUCGUAUAGCUAAUGAGGGCAUCAGUUCAGAUUAAGGGCCAUGUCGUGUGUGGGAUAUUUCCUCGGUCAUAAACGUCGCACUAAGGCAAUUCAGACGAACAACAUCGCACUCCUUCCAAUUCACCUCAAAAACGUCGCACAGGAGCCAUUGACCCGAGACUGCCUCCACCAUCUUCCACCGUUCCAUCUCUAGAGCUAGAACAGACGCAUCAUCCUUGCGAGGUCUGCCGUCGACGCCACCACGGUGCCAGACAUCGCCACCAUCCUGCACGUAUCCGUCUACACAUGCCUGUCGACGAACCAACGCAGCGCCAUGCCGCCGGGCUCCACCGUAGGGCUCACGGUAGAUCAAACACCGCUCCUCCUCUUGUCCCGUCCACCCAGCACGUACUCCAAAACGAUGCCAUCAGGAGGGAAACGACAUCGAAGAUGCCACCAUCAUCCGACCGGAGAUCCAGAUCUAAGGUUUCCCUCGGAGCAUCACGAGUGGGGUGCCAACACCUGCAACAACGAUGUCGUGGGCUAGUAAUGACGUCCUAGAUGCCGCCAUCGUCCGCCAUGACCGAGGUUGGCGCGGUUUUCACGGAAAGUCGCGUCCCCCCGAUCUCGUGGCUGGAUGGAACCGAGGGAGGCUCGUCGNNNNNNNNNNNNNNNNNNNNNGUCGUGUAGACGAAGAUCGCCGUCGGCAUGCCGGCAGGGGGCCUCCAGCCGCCCCACACCGAUCCUCCUCGCGCCACCGGUCGAUGAAGGUCAAGCCGUGACGGAUCUGGACAGGACACGCCAGAUCCGCAACCCUCGAUGACCGCCCUUGCACGCAGCCGCCGCCCUCGCUGGAUGGAGCGCCUCACCACCGCCAUCCAACCGGACCAUGGCCGGCCAUGAGGCCACGAACGCCGCCGCGCAUCAGAUCCGCCGCCCUGACUGCCGCCUCUGUCUUCCCCGCGUGCGACGGCCCCUCCGCCUCACUAGGGCUCCGCGGCUACCACCCGCCCUGGCUCUAAGGCGCAGGGCCUGCCACCACCGCGGCCCUUGCCGGCGGCAGAGGCGGCCGGGGAAGGAGGGAAACGCUUUGGAGGCAAGGGUUUCGGGGGCCCCUGGCGUCGCCCGAGGGGAGGCGACGCGAGGGGUACGAGAUGUGACUUGGGAUCAUGUGCCGUGGUGUUUAGUGGUGCUACGGAUCCCACGGUACUUGAAGCUUAUGUGUGCCGUGAAUCACUGGCAUUGGUGGAAGAUCUCGGACUACAGAGGAUAUGUAUUGCGUUUGACUGCCAAGGGAUCGUCAACGACAUUGAUAAGGGCACUGCAGACCCUCAUGGCGCAAUCAUCAUACAUGACUAAUAGAAAGAAAGGGUAGUUUUUGAUUAAGUAAUUUUAUUUUCGAAUGUAGAAACUUCAAUUUUGAAGCUCGCAAUCUUGCCAAGUAUACUUGAAAUUUAGGUAGGAGCCAGUAUGUUUGGUUAGGGUAAUCCUCAUGACCCAAUUCUUGUACCUAUGAACAUUAUUUCAAAUCAAUAAAGUCAGCGAGAUUUCCUAGGAAAAGAAACCCUGGGUAGAACAGUACCUGCUAAGUCAGGUACAUGGUACAUGGAUUUACAAAAAAAGUGUUUCCCAUCUUUAUAUUAUAACGCAACUGCACCAACAUCGGACCACAACUAGUUAAGUUCGAAGAAAAGGGUACCCAUGAAAUCCAUGUACUAUUUGAGAACAUAGUACAGGAAUUUACAGAUGUAAAUUUUGAAUAAUGCUUUAGAGAAGAUAAUGAGGUAGCUUAUGUAAUAGCUAAACAUAAUUUUUUAUUGAAAAGGUUUCAAAUCUAUUAUGUAGGUUCACCAAAAUUACAAUUACAAAGCACCACAAAUAUAAUAAAUAUUAGGUUGAGGUCCCUUAACCACCGAACGGCCACUACAGCCACCAGAACGAGACGUCGAUGUGCCAUCGUAGCCGCUCCCGUUCCGGAGUAGGCCUGACUUGAUCGAUGACAGCAUCAAAGUUUUUGUGCACAUGCCUCUAAGAACUAAAGCCCCGGAGCAGCAGUUGUCAAACAGUCAGUGGUUAGAGGGUGGAAUUGAGGAGAUGGUAAAACUAUAUAUAUGAUACUCCUCAAUGCGGGCAGCCUUAUGAUACUAGUAUAUGAUCAUAACUAUGAGUAUACAGUACAUAUAUAUGAUACUAGUAUAUGAUACUCCUCAAUGCGGGCAGCCUUAUGCCAUUUGUGCUAGUCUGGUGCUCAAAUCCUAGCUCUGAUUGGCUGUAUGAUUUCUCUAAUUAAAUUUCUAACAUGCCAAUCCAUGCUGAGUUUUGUUGCUCCGGAAGCGCACCGCAUCCGCAGAAAGGGAUCAGCAGAGACUUUAUGCAGGCUCUAGAUGAUAAAAAGGGUAUAUGUACUUACGCUCCAUGCAUGCAUGCAUGUCCAUGUGCCGCGUGGAACCUAGGAACAAGAAGCUAGGACACGAUCGACCACCAGCCAAUGCAAAGUGGAACACCAACCGAGUAAUGGCCAACGACGUGGCUCAAAUCGAAGAUGGAUGGGUGAGUUGGACUCUGGAAUAAACAGAGUUUUAAUUCGCCAUCCGAAAUUCCGGCGCUCCAAACGCAAGUUAGCCUGUCUCGCUUCACUUCGCCGGCCACCCUUCUUCUGCUUGGCUUGGCUUGGCUUGCAGCCAGAUCGAUCGGUUGAGCAUUCGAGCUGUAUCGAUCAAUGCGUAAGCCUAUAUAAGCCAUGCGCCUCAUGUUCGAUUCAUAAUUCAUUCAUCCAUCCAUCGAUCUGCCACUUCACAGUUCACACCAGCAGCAGUCAGCUAAUAAUUCAGACAUGGCAGCUACGAGAGCACUCGUCCUGGGCGUCCUGCUGGCGAUCGCCGUCGCCAAUGCCGAGGCAACGUCCGUCGUCGUCGGCCUGGCCAAGUGCGCCGACUGCACAAGGAAGAACAUCAAGGCCGAGGAAACCUUCAAGGGUAAGCGGAGCGCUGAUGUGCUACUCCACUGUGUGGCAAAUGCAUGAUGGGUUGACGCUGAUCACUGUUGUUCUUUCUGCCAUGAACGUACCUUAGGUCUCCAGGUGGCGAUCAAGUGCAAGAACAUCGAUGGCCAGUACGAGAGCAAAGCGGUGGGUGCCCUGGAUGGCACCGGCGCCUUCAGCGUGCCCCUGGCCACUGACCUCCACGGCGCCGACUGUGUCGCUCAGCUCCACAGCGCCGCCUCCAACACGCCGUGCCCCGGCCAGGAACCAUCCAAGAUCGUGCCUGUUUCCGAGGGCACCACCUUCGGCAUCGUCGCCGGCGACAAGACCGCCACGCCGUCUGCAGCGUCGCCGGAGUGCGCGUCCAUGACCCUGUGCGGGCCCAUCAAGAAACACAUCAUGGAGCACUUCCACCACAAGAAGCCCGUGCCGC
rnacentral:lncRNA from 1 species